CGAUACUGACACUGAGGUGCGAAAGCGUGGGAGCAAACGGGAUUAGAUACCCCGGUAGUCACGCCGUAAACGAUGUCUACUAGCCGUUGGAGGACUUGAUCCUUUAGUGGCGCAGCUAACGCGAUAAGUAGACCGCCUGGGGAGUACGGUCGCAAGAUUAAAACUCAAAUGAAUUGACGGGGGCCCGCACAAGCGGUGGAGCAUGUGGUUUAAUUCGAAGCAACGCGAAGAACCUUACCUACUCUUGACAUCCAGUGAACUUUUGAGAGAUCAAUUGGUGCCUUCGGGAACACUGAGACAGGUGCUGCAUGGCUGUCGUCAGCUCGUGUUGUGAAAUGUUGGGUUAAGUCCCGUAACGAGCGCAACCCUUGUCCUUAGUUACCAUCAUUAAGUUGGGGACUCUAAGGAGACUGCCGGUGACAAACCGGAGGAAGGCGGGGACGACGUCAAGUCAUCAUGGCCCUUACGAGUAGGGCUACACACGUGCUACAAUGGCAUGUACAAAGGGUUGCCAAGCCGCGAGGUGGAGCUAAUCCCAUAAAGCAUGUCGUAGUCCGGAUUGGAGUCUGCAACUCGACUCCAUGAAGUCGGAAUCGCUAGUAAUCGUGAAUCAGAAUGUCACGGUGAAUACGUUCCCGGGCCUUGUACACACCGCCCGUCACACCAUGGGAGUGGGUUGCUCCAGAAGUAGAUAGCUUAACCUUCGGGAGGGCGUUUACCACGGAGUGAUUCAUGACUGGGGUGAAGUCGUAACAAGGUAGCCGUA
rnacentral:rRNA from 1 species